AGCUCGUUGGUCUAGGGGUAUGAUUCUCGCUUCGGAUGCGAGAUGUCCCGGGUUCAAAUCCCGGACGAGCCC
rnacentral:tRNA from 1 species